GGAUUAGAUACCCUGGUAGUCCACGCCGUAAACGAUGGUUACUAGCUGUUCGGAUUUCGGUCUGAGUGGCUAAGCGAAAGUGAUAAGUAACCCACCUGGGGAGUACGUUCGCAAGAAUGAAACUCAAAGGAAUUGACGGGGGCCCGCACAAGCGGUGGAGCAUGUGGUUUAAUUCGAUGAUACGCGAGGAACCUUACCAGGGCUUAAAUGCAGUACGACAGAUCUAGAGAUAGAUUUUUCUUCGGACGGACUGCAAGGUGCUGCAUGGUUGUCGUCAGCUCGUGCCG
rnacentral:rRNA from 1 species